rnacentral:rRNA from 1 species
AGCGAACGCUGGCGGCAGGCCUAACACAUGCAAGUCGAACGAACUCUUCGGAGUUAGUGGCGGACGGGUGAGUAACACGUGGGAACGUGCCUUUUGGUUCGGAAUAACUCAGGGAAACUUGUGCUAAUACCGAAUGUGCCCUUCGGGGGAAAGAUUUAUCGCCAUUAGAGCGGCCCGCGUCUGAUUAGCUAGUUGGUGAGGUAACGGCUCACCAAGGCGACGAUCAGUAGCUGGUCUGAGAGGAUGACCAGCCACACUGGGACUGAGACACGGCCCAGACUCCUACGGGAGGCAGCAGUGGGGAAUCUUGCGCAAUGGGCGAAAGCCUGACGCAGCCAUGCCGCGUGAAUGAUGAAGGUCUUAGGUUUGUAAAAUUCUUUCACCGGGGACGAUAAUGACGGUACCCGGAGAAGAAGCCCCGGCUAACUUCGUG